rnacentral:lncRNA from 1 species
ACGGAUGUCACAACAGCACCCCGUUUGGAUCCAUGCAUGGUUGCGGGUGAGUGUGGAGGGGAGCAGAAAGUUGAGCGAAUUGUUUAUCUGCGCAAAGAAGAAGAUAAAGUUGCACUGUAGAUAGGGAGUGCCAAGUCAUCCGAAGCAAGUUACAAAGUUACCCUUACUUUUGCUGGAAUCAAGAAACAGUGUUGUGCAUGCAUGCCACAUGAAGCCAUGAGAUUCCUGACUUGGCUCAGGAAUCGUUUGACUCUGUGUGAAUCUGUGAAAGGAGAGUGAAUGGAGAGUGAAUGCAGUGGUGGGUGAGUGGGUGAGGUAGGUGGGCGUGGCUAUAUAACAGCAUGAAGUUCAUUCCUCCAUUCACAGAAAACGAAAGCAACCGAGCCAUCUGAGAGUGCAUUGUAGUGUGGUUGGAGAGAUUCCUAUAAGCCAUCUUCGUUUCUGUUAGUAUACCUUGUUCAUCUCACGUCCUGGGGUUGUUCUUGUGAUUCAUCUGCGUUAAUUUGGGUUGAUAUGGGUUCGUCUGAGGUGAGAGCUAAAGUCUGGAAUGGUGCAUAAUCGAUUAUGCCUCAAUUAUAACAAGUCAGAUAAUCGAUUAUGGGGCAGAUAAUCGAUUUUUCAACGAACAUAAUCGAUUAUCUGUAAAAGUUUACAGGCAUAAUCGAUUAUCUGGUGUGUUGAAAAUGGGCCAUAAUCGAUUAUUGUGUUCCAUAAUCGAUUAUGGUGUAUUUUUGCCUACACACAUAAUCGAUUAUCUGUAAAAGUUUACAGGAUCGAUUAUCUGGUGUGUUGAAAAUGGGCCAUAAUUGAUUAUUGUGUGUCAUAAUCGAUUAUGGUGUAUUUUUGCCUACACACAUAAUCGAUUAUCACUGGAUAAUCGAUCAUCCUCUGUGCAUAACUGAGAGCAUAAUCGAUUAUGUUCUAUAUUUUUUUGGAAUUCUAUGUUUCUGAAUUUUUUUUAUGUGAUUUUCAGGCAGUGUUCUUCAUCCUAAGUCAUCCUAUUGUGCUGCUUGUGCUGCUGUUGUUGCUUAUCUUCAGGUUUUUAAUUUUUUUUAUGUAAAGUUAUUUUUUAUUUAUUUCUGUUUUAUAUUUAUGAUUGGAUGAUUAUGGUUUUGUAAUAUAAUUUGUUUAGAAUUUAUUUUAGUUAAUUAUGUUAAGGAGUUACUAAAUUAUUGUUGGUUGGUUGUAAUAUAAUUUGUUUAGACUUUAGUUUAGUUAAUUAUUUUAAGGAGUUAGUAAAUUAUUGUUAUUAUUUG